rnacentral:rRNA from 1 species
GGUUGAUCCUGCCAGUAGUCAUAUGCUUGUCUCAAGGACUAAGCCAUGCAUGUCUAAGUAUAUCUGUAUGUACGAGAAACUGCGAAUGGCUCAAUAAAUCAGCUAUAAUUCCAUUGAUGGUGCUUGCUACUCGGAUACCCGUAGUAAAUCUAGAGCUAAUACGUGCGUGAAGGGGUGAUGAUUUUAUCAGAGCCUUGCAUUUAUCAGAUCCAAGACCAACUGAGCUUCUGCUCAUUUUGUGUUGAUUCAUGAUAACUUUGCGAAUCGCGAUUUUACAUCGCGAUGUUUCAAU